UUCCCUAUAUUUUCAAUAAUAUGUAAUUGUGUCGUGAUAUUUUUCGUUCGACCAUUAAAGUUGCUUUGUGCUUAGCUAAAUUAGAUAGUAUCAACAAAUUCACCAUAUUAUUUGAUUAAUAUCACAUAAAACUAAAUCUAAAAGACGUGACUGAAAAAAUUGUAAAAUUCAACAAAUGAUGGUUUUGGUUUUGGUCGUAUAGCUUAAGGUUUUGUGUGGAUCAGAUUUAUUGUUUUGUAUUAAAGGAUAUUAAUUGUGUGUUUUGUCUAAGCGUUAGCUAUUUUUUUCACUGUGAAGCUUAAUCAAUUUCUUAAGAUCAUAUAAAGCAAUGCGUAC
rnacentral:lncRNA from 1 species